GCGCCUGUAGCUCAAUUGGUUAGAGCACGAAGCUUAUACCUUCGCGGUUUUAGGUUCGAGUCCUAACAGGCGCA
rnacentral:tRNA from 1 species